rnacentral:rRNA from 1 species
AGAGUUUGAUCCUGGCUCAGAUUGAACGCUGGCGGCAGGCCUAACACAUGCAAGUCGAGCGGAAACGAUGGUAGCUUGCUACCAGGCGUCGAGCGGCGGACGGGUGAGUAACGCGUGAGAAUCUGCCCAUUUGUGGGGGAUAACUCGGGGAAACUCGAGCUAAUACCGCAUAAUCCCUACGGGGGAAAGCAGGGGACCUUCGGGCCUUGUGCAGACGGAUGAGCUCGCGUCGGAUUAGCUUGUUGGUGAGGUAAAGGCUCACCAAGGCGACGAUCCGUAGCUGGUCUGAGAGGAUGAUCAGCCACACCGGGACUGAGACACGGCCCGGACUCCUACGGGAGGCAGCAGUGGGGAAUCUUGGACAAUGGGGGCAACCCUGAUCCAGCCAUGCCGCGUGUGUGAAGAAGGCCUUCGGGUUGUAAAGCACUUUCAGUAGGGAGGAAGGCUUACCGCUAAUAACGGUGAGUACUUGACGUUACCUACAGAAGAAGCACCGGCUAAUUUCGUGCCAGCAGCCGCGGUAAUACGAAAGGUGCGAGCGUUAAUCGGAAUUACUGGGCGUAAAGCGCGCGUAGGCGGUUUGUUAAGUCAGAUGUGAAAGCCCCGGGCUCAACCUGGGAAUUGCAUUUGAAACUGGCAGGCUAGAGUGCAGUAGAGGGAGGUGGAAUUUCCGGUGUAGCGGUGAAAUGCGUAUAGAUCGGAAGGAACACCAGUGGCGAAAGCGGCCUCCUGGACUGACACUGACGCUGAGGUGCGAAAGCGUGGGGAGCAACAGGAUUAGAUACCCCGGUAGUCCACGCCGUAAACGAUGUCUACUAGUCGUUGGGAAUCUUAGUAUUCUUGGUGACGAAGUUAACGCGAUAAGUAAACCGCCUGGGGAGUACGGCCGCAAGUUUAAACUCAUAUGAAUUGACCGGGGGCCCGCCCAGCGGUGCAGCAUGUUGGUUUAAUUCGAUGCCACGCGAAGAACUUUACCAAGCCUUGACAUCCUUGGAACUUUCUAAGAAAUAGAUUGUGCCCUUCCGGGAGCCAGUGGACAGGUGCUGGCAUUGCUGGUCCUUCAGCCUCGUGGUCUCGUUAAAUGGUUUGGGCUAAGUCCCGUUCCAGAGCCCAACCCAUGUCCUAUUGCAAGAUUCCGGUGGAAUCUAAGGACUGCGUGUCAACUUGAAGAAAGGUGGGAGGACGAGGCCCUUCAGAUCCGUUAGAUCUCCUAUAUCG